AUGGCUUCACAUGCAUCCGCAUUUAGGAUGGCCAUCCUACUCGCCGCCGUUUUGGCCGUUUUGGUCCUGCCAUCCUUAGCAUGUCGGAAGGCUCGAGCUCCGGCUCCCGCUCCCGCUCCAGCUCCAGCGCUGGCUCCGGCCCCGGCUCCGGCGCCCGUGAUACUGUGCCAGGAUUGUUACUCACGGUGUCAGCCGGCGUCGAUUUGCGAUGCCUACGUUGCCGCGGCGGGCUGCGGAAAUGCCUGCAGCGGCGCGACGCCGGACUGCGAGCCCUGCAAGUCCGAGGUCCUCCGAGUCUGCUUGCCCAGCUGCAACAAGGGCUGCCCCAAGAACUGCGCUGAGUGCGACUGUCCCAGGGUAUGCGCCAAUGCCUGCGACGACGGUGCUAUGCGCCAGUGUAAGGAGAAGUGCGUCUACUCCUUCUACGCGGUCGACUCCUGCCACAAAUGCUGGGACAGGGCCCGCGCGCGGUGCACUGAUGCAUGCAACAGCGACUGCAAGGCCAACUGCAUCAGUGGCUGA
rnacentral:rRNA from 1 species